GGAAUAUUGGACAAUGGGCGAAAGCCUGAUCCAGCAAUGCCGCGUGAGUGAUGAAGGCCUUAGGGUUGUAAAGCUCUUUUACCCGAGAUGAUAAUGACAGUAUCGGGAGAAUAAGCUCCGGCUAACUCCGUGCCAGCAGCCGCGGUAAUACGGAGGGAGCUGGCGUUGUUCGGAAUUACUGGGCGUAAAGCGCACGUAGGCGGUUAUUCAAGUCAGAGGUGAAAGCCCAGUGCUCAACACUGGAACUGCCUUUGAAACUAGAUAACUUGAAUCCAGGAGAGGUGAGUGGAAUUCCGAGUGUAGAGGUGAAAUUCGUAGAUAUUCGGAAGAACACCAGUGGCGAAGGCGGCUCACUGGACUGGUAUUGACGCUGAGGUGCGAAAGCGUGGGGAGCAAAC
rnacentral:rRNA from 1 species